GACGAACGCUGGCGGCGUGCCUAACACAUGCAAGUCGAACGAGAAUUUUAAUUCAGAUCCCUUCGGGGUGACGAAUUAAAAGGACAGUGGCGGACGGGUGAGUAACGCGUGAGUAACCUGCCCAUAAGAGGGGGACAACACAGAGAAAUUUGUGCUAAUACCGCAUAUUGAGUUUAAAUCGCAUGAUUUUAACUUGAAAGAUUUUAUCGCUUAUGGAUGGACUCGCGUCCGAUUAGAUAGUUGGUGAGGUAAAGGGCUCACCAAGUCAACGAUCGGUAGCCGGACUGAGAGGUUGAACGGCCACAUUGGGACUGAGACACGGCCCAGACUCCUACGGGAGGCAGCAGUGGGGGAUAUUGCGCAAUGGGGGCAACCCUGACGCAGCAACGCCGCGUGAAGGAAGAAGGCCUCGGGUUGUAACUUCUUUUAGUCAGGGACGAAGGACGUGACGGUACCUGC
rnacentral:rRNA from 1 species